CACCGCGGUUAUACGAGAGGCUCAAGUUGAUAAAUACCGGCGUAAAAAGUGGCUAGCACAUCAUCCAACUAAAGCUAAACAUCUUCAGAGCUGUUAUACCCAUAUGAAGCCAGGAAGCACUUCUACGAAAGUAGCUUUAAAUUAUGCCAUCCACGAAAGCUAGGAAA
rnacentral:rRNA from 1 species